CCUACGGGAGGCAGCAGUGGGGAAUAUUGGGCAAUGGGCGAGAGCCUGAACCAGCCAAGUCGCGUGAGGGAGUACUGCCCUAUGGGUUGUAAACCUCUUUUGUCGGGGAGCAAAAGCCGGACGUGUCCGGCUGUGAGAGUACCCGAAGAAAAUGCAUCGGCUAACUCCGUGCCAGCAGCCGCGGUAAUACGGAGGAUGCGAGCGUUAUCCGGAUUUAUUGGGUUUAAAGGGUGCGCAGGCGGAUUUUUAAGUCAGCGGUAAAAUCGUGGGGCUCAACCCCAUCCAGCCGUUGAAACUGGGGAUCUAGAGUGUGCGAGAGGUAUGCGGAAUGCGUGGUGUAGCGGUGAAAUGCAUAGAUAUCACGCAGAACCCCGAUUGCGAAGGCAGCAUACCGGUGCACAACUGACGCUCAGGCACGAAAGCGUGGGUAUCGAACAGGAUUAGAUACCCGUGUAGUC
rnacentral:rRNA from 1 species